rnacentral:tRNA from 1 species
UGGCUCAGGGGUAGAGCGCUUGCCUUGCAUGCCUGAGGCCCUGAGUUCGAUCCUCAG